UACAGAGGUGGCAAGCGUUGUUCGGAAUUACUGGGCGUAAAGGGCGCGUAGGCGGCCUUGUAAGUCUUGUGUGAAAGCCCUCGGCUUAACUGAGGAUCUGCACGGGAUACUGCGAGGCUUGAGUUCGGGAGAGGAAAGCGGAAUUCCGGGUGUAGCGGUGAAAUGCGUAGAUAUCCGGAGGAACACCAGUGGCGAAGGCGGCUUUCUGGACCGACACUGACGCUGAUGCGCGAAAGCUAGGGGAGCAAACGGG
rnacentral:rRNA from 1 species